GACGUAGGGCGCGAGCGUUGUCCGGAAUUACUGGGCGUAAAGAGCUCGUAGGUGGUUUGUCGCGUUGUUCGUGAAAUCUCACGGCUUAACUGUGAGCGUGCGGGCGAUACGGGCAGACUGGAGUACUGCAGGGGAGACUGGAAUUCCUGGUGUAGCGGUGGAAUGCGCAGAUAUCAGGAGGAACACCGGUGGCGAAGGCGGGUCUCUGGGCAGUAACUGACGCUGAGGAGCGAAAGCGUGGGGAGCGAACAGG
rnacentral:rRNA from 1 species